AUCCGACUGAAGAGUCUAAAAUGGGACGAAACGCGCAUCCUGGAU
rnacentral:hammerhead_ribozyme from 1 species